UUGCAAGGGAAUAGAUUUAAUACAGGACACAUAAUUUACAGGGUUAUUUUUAUAAUAGUCACCCAAAAAGUCAAAUGCAGAGGAGUGCAAGAGAUCUGUCCACACACUAGAGACCCGAAGAAUCCAGCCCAGGGCCUGGAUCCCACAGCAAUGUCCCGCACAAGUCCAGCUGAAGGCCUAGACCCCAAGGCAGUGUCCUCCAUGAAUCCAGCCAGAGGCCUAGAGCCCACAGCAAUGUCCCAUGCAAGUCCAUAUCGAGGAUCUGCACUGGGGAAGCCCAAAGGCCAGUAGGGGAAUCUGGAGAGUCUGCACCUGGCAGGGUGAAGGGUCUGUGCCACCAGUCUGAGGGAUCUGCCCAGGAGCCAGGAAGUGGUGCUCAAGGUGAAGACCAGAGAACAGCAGCCAUCCCUGGUGACAGCGAAGAAAGACCCAAGCUCCUCCUCCGACGAGAACAGUCAAGUUCUCAUCAGGAAAACCAGCUGCAGCAAGCUUCUCCUAGAAAUCAACAGCACACCAUCUUCCCCUCUAGUUCUCUUUUUAUGCUGUUGGCAACAAUCCUCAGAUACCAGGCUCCAGGCUGAAGAUUUGGCUCACACAGCAGCUCUCUUAUUCCGCAAAAACUCAUUAACUGGCCUUUGAAUCUGUGUCCUGUGCCCUCGGUAGCAGAUUACCUUGGGUGAACUGAUAAACUGGUUUCUGAAACUACAAACCAGAGCAGCCCCAGCCAUGUUGUGAACUUCGCUGAGUGCCUG
rnacentral:lncRNA from 1 species